rnacentral:rRNA from 1 species
UGAGCAACCUGCCCUUAGCUUUGGGAUAACCCUCGGAAACGGGGGCUAAUACCGAAUGUUCACUGCCGGGCGCAUGUUUGGUGGUGGAAAGUUUUUCGGCUGGGGAUGGGCUCGCGGCCUAUCAGCUUGUUGGUGGGGUGAUGGCCUACCAAGGCGAUGACGGGUAGCCGGCCUGAGAGGGCGACCAGCCACACUGGGACUGAGACACGGCCCAGACCUCCGUACGGGAGGCA